GGUGUCCUCAAAGGCCAGAAGAGACAUUGGAUCCCCUAUACUUGAGUUGCAGAAGGUUGUGAGCAACUAUGUGGGUGCUGGGAAUUCACCUUGGAUCCUCUGGAAGAGCAGUCAGUGCUCUUAAACUGUCUCUCCAGCCUCACUUGAGAUUUUCAGUCUGACCACAAGGCCCUUUACGGUGCUUUGGUAGGUGCAUGUCCUGCUAACCUCCUCUGCGGACCUCACAGUGCUCCCAGGGUGCUCCUCAUGCUUCUGUGCUCUGUCUGUCCUGUCUCCUCUCCCGGCUGGAAUGGCCCUCCACUCGCUUAUGUGUUUCCAAAUUUUCUUUUCUUCUAAAUGGAUGAAUCACUUUCUCUUCUUGCUAGCUUUGUGCUCAUCUUGAUUUUGUCAUAGUGUUAACAUUGUUUCUGCUGUGUGACAGUCUGUCUUCCUUGUGAUAUAGUAAGCUCUUGAAAGCAGUUAAUUUUAUAUCUUGUGCUCUAUAUGUUAUCUAGCACAUGUGCUCAAGGUGGUUUAUAGGGUUCAGUUUAUUUGAGAUGUUUAACAUUUGGGGGUGGGGUAAGAUUUUUCCUUUUGAGAAAACUUCUAAAAUGUAACUUGGGCUGGCCUCAAACUUGAUAUAUGGUUCAGUCUAGCCUCACAUUUGAGCUCCUCCUACUUUAGCCUCUCCUAAGUGCUGGAAUUUUAGACAUAAUCACUACUCUCAAGAUCUCACCUUUAAUUAAAUUUACCUGUUGAAUAAAUUCUGUGAUCUUCAAUUAGCACAUGAUGCAUGGUGUGUUAGUUACUUCUUUGCUGCUGUAUAACUCAAAAUCUGAAGCGAACGCUGAAGUGUAUUUAUGGAGUAUCAGAUAUUUGGUGAACUAUUUAGAUUUUUCUGUUUGAAAAUUUUUAUAACAAAAAACCCCAACAGUUUUUGUUUGUCACAAUUCUGCUUUUUCUCCAGAAGAAGCGACCUAAAAUAGUAGAGGCUCCAUUAAAGAACUUUUAAAAUCCAGGUUCAGUUUUGUGGGCACUGGGGUUUCCUGAUGGAAUUGAAGAGCCUCUUAUUUCUGCCAUGCCAAAUUUCCUAGCUAGCUGGCUGAAAAUCGUCCAGGGGACUCUUCUGUCUCUACCUCCUAUCUUGCAGUAGGAAUACUGAAAUUACAGAUGAAUCACAUCUAGCUGUGGCUUUUAUUUUUUUAAACAUGGGUUUUAGGGAUAACACUGAAGUUGUUAGGUACAGUCAGGCUUGCAUGUCAAGCACUUUUAUGCACUGGGCCAUCCCAUUGGCCUUGAAUUUGAUUUAUACUUGUAGUCUCCCCUUUUUGUGGCCCAUCUCUUCUCUUCUCUUUUCCUUUCAGUUCUAUUCUUUAUUCCAAGGUUGGUUCUACAUUUUAGGGCCUUAAGUCAACUUUAGAUCAUCCACCUUCUGUAAUCUUAAUUUUAUCUUGACUGAUGCUGGUGAGGUAGUUCAGCAUGUAAGGGUGCUUUGUACCAAGUCUGACAGCCUCAGUUAGAUCCCUGGGAGCCUAUGGUGGAAGGAAAGCUCUCAAACGUUGUAUUGAAUACUGAAUGGAAGUGUGUGAGUGUUUGGGGAGUUAUCUAUGUCUUCCCUCCAUUGUGCCCUUAUUAUAAGACUAUCAUGUGAAUUAGAUUCUCUUGACUAUAGUUUUGUUUUUCACAUUCCAGCUUGGACAGCUUUUAGCAGCCACCUGCAAAGAACUUCCAGGCCCUAAAGAGAGUAGACGGACCGCUAAAGACCUCUGGGAAGUUGUUGUUCAGAUCUGCAGUGUGUCUAACCAGCACAAACGAGGAAAUGAUGGCAGAGUUAGUUUGAUAAAGCAGAGGGAAUCCACAUUAGGCAUAAUGUAUCGGUAUGUUUCUCUCAGUGCUGUUUUUGCAUUUGCAUUUGUUUACAUUUCCUGUACUUUUCCCAGAACAUCUUUAUCCUAUAGAUUUGUAAAGAUAGAUAAUCUUAGGCUUUGGUGGAGCUCACUGGCAAAGUAUUGGCUAAUGUUCACAAGACUGUGGGUUCAUUUCUGUACACCACAACACAAAAACUCAAAAUGUAUAAUCUUAAAAAUUCUGGAGAUGGGCAUAGUAGCACACACUUAAUCCCAUUUAUCACUUGAGAGAUAGAGGCAGGAAGAUAUCUGAGUUCAAGCCAACCUGGUCUACACAGAGAGUUCCAGGACAGCCACGGCUACAGAAUGAGACCCUUUCUCAAAAA
rnacentral:lncRNA from 1 species